ensembl:misc_RNA Metazoa_SRP Metazoan signal recognition particle RNA
GCUGGGUAUGGUGGCAUAUGCCUGUAGUCCUAGCUACUUGGGAGGCUGAGGCAGGAGAAUUGCUUGAGCCCAGGAGUUCCAGGCUGCAGUGAGCUUUGGUAGCACCAUUGCACUUUAGCCUGGGCAACAGAGUGAGAUCCUGUCUCAA